rnacentral:rRNA from 1 species
UACGUAGGGUGCAAGCGUUGUCCGGAAUUAUUGGGCGUAAAGAGCUCGUAGGCGGUCUGUCGCGUCGGCUGUGAAAACCCGUGGCUCAACCCCGGGCCUGCAGUCGAUACGGGCAGACUAGAGUGCGGUAGGGGAGACUGGAAUUCCUGGUGUAGCGGUGAAAUGCGCAGAUAUCAGGAGGAACACCGGUGGCGAAGGCGGGUCUCUGGGACGGUACUGACGCUGAGACGCGAAAGCGUGGGGAGCGAACAGG